GUACACCUACGGGAGGCAGCAGUGGGGAAUAUUGCACAAUGGGGGAAACCCUGAUGCAGCGACGCCGCGUGAGUGAGGAAGUAUUUCGGUAUGUAAAGCUCUAUCAGCAGGGAAGAAAAAAUGACGGUACCUGACUAAGAAGCCCCGGCUAACUACGUGCCAGCAGCCGCGGUAAUACGUAGGGGGCAAGCGUUAUCCGGAUUUACUGGGUGUAAAGGGAGCGUAGGUGGCAGGGCAAGUCAGAUGUGAAAACCCGGGGCUCAACUCCGGGAGUGCAUUUGAAACUGUCCAGCUAGAGUGCAGGG
rnacentral:rRNA from 1 species